rnacentral:rRNA from 1 species
AGCGAACGCUGGCGGCAGGCCUAACACAUGCAAGUCGAACGAACUCUUCGUAGUUAGUGGCGGACGGGUGAGUAACACGUCGGAACGUGCCUUUUGACUCGGAAUAACUCAGUGACACUUGUGCUAAUACCGAAUGUGCCCUUCGGGUGCAAGAUUGAUCGCCAUUAUAGCGGCCCGCGUCUGAUUAGCUAGUUGGUGAGGUAACGGCUUAUCACGGCUUCGCUCAGUAGCUGGUCUGAGAGAAUGACCAGCCACACUGGGACUCAGACGCGGCCCAGAAUCUUACGGGAGGCAGGAGUGGGGGAUCUUGCGAAAUGGGGGGAAGGCUGAAGCAGCCAGGGCGGGUGAAUGAUGAAGGUGGUAGGAAAAUAAAAUUCUUUAACCGGGGACGAUAAUGACGGUACCCGGAGAAGAAGCCCCGGCUAACUUCGUG